rnacentral:SRP_RNA from 1 species
CCGUGAUAGGCGGGGAGCUAGCGGUGCCCUGUACUCGCAAUCCGCUUCAGCGAGGCCGAAUUCCCUUCUGCGGUAUGAUGGAUGUAAGGUUCGCCUGAUAGAAGCGGUGUUGACCUUCGGAGUCCUCGCAACGAAUGCCCAUGAACCUGGUCAGGCCGGGAACGGAGCAGCCAUAAGUGGUUUCAUUCGUGUGUCGCAGGGUCGCUCUGGACGAGCUGGCUGGAUCAGCAGCACUUAUGUCGUCAUCACAAGGAAGGGUUCACGG